CCCCCCCCCCCCCCCCCCCCCCCGCGCGCUUCCCCCCUCCUCGCCGCCGCCCAUUAGCCUCCGCCGGGCAAAGCCCUGCGCGGAUCCGGCGGCGGCAGGGCUCUGGCGCGCCGGAGCGGCCCGACUGCGAGCGGGGACUCGUGCGGCAGCGGCGGCGCGGCGCUCCUCCGCGCGCGCCGUUCGUGCUCCGUGGCGGUGGAAGGGCGGCCGUGCUUGCGGCGGGGGGUGGGCGUCCCGUGCUCCGGCCAUCUUUGGCCCGCGCGAUGCGCUUCGCCUCCCAAUCCGGCGGGUUGGGCCGCUGCCUGCGGUGCCUCAUGGCGUUCAUGGCGGCUGGUCGUUCCCCCGGCCGUGAGGGCGGCGUGGGGCUGCGGCGGAGCCAUCUGCCUCGGCUUGGACGGCCGCGGCGGGCCUGGGCGUGUGCUGUCUUCUGCGAUGGAUCUGCCGAUUCCUGCUCUCUCCGGUGAGCUGGACCUCGGGAUGGGUGUGGUGAGUGCGCUAGGCUUCUACGCACGAGGUGUGCGGCGAACUCGGCGUGAUGCAGGUGCAGCUCUCGCUGCCUCUUAGAUCGAGCUCUGCUCGCUCUCCCGAUCUGGAGGCUUCGCAUGGUGCGGCGGCCUCUGUUCCGUGGUCAGGCUGCGAGUGCUCUUGCUGGUGUGUUGGUUUGGCUAGCAGGCUGCAGGUUGGGGGUUGUGACACUGCCGGCGUAAAGCCGGGCUCCGGUUUCGGUUGGAGCCAACGACGGCGGUGCCUGUGGGCGCCGUAUCCUUGCUGAAGGCGUCGUGCUGCUGGUGUUCGUCUUCCCUCCUAAAUUUCUCCAAAGGAAACUUUGGAUCUUGGGUCUCCCGGAUCGGGCGAUGGUGGCGCUCAACGUCACACUCUCACUUGGGGCUUCGUCUUUGAGCUUGCCUUGGCUAGGGUGACUAGUGGCUUGAGGUGGUCCCGUUGGCGGUUCGUGUGGGCGUUAGCAGUGGAGAGGUGGUGCUCUGUCUUCGUGAUCUUGGCUCGGCCAUGCCUUUGGCCGCGUUGAGGUGUUUGUGUUGGCGGUUGGAUGGUGGUGGUGCGGCCGGGUUGGGGUCGACGGUGGUUUGAGAUCUUCUUCGGGGGUGUUCUUCUUGUGUUCUUGCUCCUACACUCCUGAGUGUGUUCUCUGCUAGGUGAUGCCAAGCGACAGCGGCGGUGGCGCACAGGUGCUGUGGCGCUGUCUCGGCCUCGCGUGACCUUUCGAAUGUGCCCCACGGCACAGGUGGUGUCGCGGCGUUGUGCAGUCUCGGAUGCGCGGAGCCUUUCGAUUGCGUCGACGGUGCAGUGUCAUGGUCUUGUUUGCUUGGCGAUGCUGACUUCGCCUGUGGCAGAUAGGCACCGUGGCGUUGUCUCGGCCUCGCGUGACCUUUCGAAUGCACCCCCGGCACAGGUGGUGUUGUGGCGUUGUGCACUCCCGGAUGCGUGAAGCCUUUCGAUUGCGUCGAUGGUGCAGUGUCUUGGCUUGGUCGGCUGGCCAAUGCCGUUCGAUCACAUUGGUGGUGCUUUGUGUUCUGCUGGGAUGUGUCUUCCCUCUCUGUUCUCCCCUGUUUGUAUGUUUGGAGUAUUCUGUUUUUGCUUUAUCACUUCUUCCGUGCCCCCCUGUAAUUCUGGUUCAUUUGAACCCAUCUUGCAAAAAGGCUGCAAAGCCUUAUAGGCAAAUGAAUAUAAUUCAGGUGGUGGAGGGGCCCCCCCUCCUCCCCCGGUGAAAAUUCAAAAAAAAAUCUAGAAAAAGAAAAAGAAGAGAAGCAAUUACGUAUGCCCCAAUUGAUGAGAGAGAUAGGAUGAGAAAAGAGUAUUUUGACAACAAAAUAUGGAAGAAUGGCACAACUUGUGUGAACAUGCUUAGGCUUCGGAGAGAACCUUUCUUUAGGUUUUGUCAACUGUUUAGGGAUCGCAACUGCUAAAUGACACAAUACACUUGACCGUUGAGCAACAACUAGCAAUGUUCCUGCACACCGUUGGGCACAACAUUAAAAAUAGGGUAAUUGGCGCCAAUUUUGGUAGAUCUGGUGAAGUCGUGAAAUGUUACUUCAAAAGGGUACUCCAUGCCAUUGGUGAGCUUUGAGAUGACCUUAUUAGGAAGCCUUCAUUGGAGAUCCAAACCAAAAUAGAAGGAAACUACCGGUGGGAUCCAUACUUUAAGGAUUGUAUUGGAGCUAUCGAUGGCACACAUGUGCGAGCCUCUAUUACACCAGAUAUGGAGGCUGCCUUUCGUGGUAGAAAGACUUAUUCUACUCAAAAUGUUAUGGCGGCUGUAGAUUUUGACCUUCGAUUCACAUAUGUGUUGGCUGGUUGGGAGGGGACAGCACAUGAUGCUCUAGUUUUACGUGAUGCUUUAGAACGUGAGAAUGGUCUACGUGUCCCACAAGGAAAAGUUUAUCUAGUUGAUGCUGGAUAUGGAGCUAAACCGGGUUUUUUGCCUCCUUUUCGUGGCGUGAGGUAUCACUUGAAUGAGUGGGGAAACAACCCCGUGCAAAACGAGAAGGAGCUGUUCAACCUUAGGCAUUCUUCUCUUCGUGUGACCGUAGAAUGUGCAUUUGGCUCGUUGAAGAGAAGAUUCAAGAUACUUGAUGAUGCCACCAAAUUCUUCCUAUAUGCUCAAAUACUUGCUGAAAUUGUUUCUAUAUGCUCAAAUACUUGCUGAAAUUCUUCCUUUAUGUCAAAAUACUUACUGAAAUUACUUUUUUUGUUUCGACAAGGCUCAUCCAGAGGACGAACAGUACCUUAACAAGACUAUUAUUCAUUAUAAGGAGAUGGUGAAUAUAGCUGGAGGGAGCAUGGCUACAGGGCAAUAUGCAAAAGACUCAAGUGACCCUCUUGCUACAGAAGUGGUUAAUCUUGAAGAAGAGACAACCAAGAAACCCACUACCCCGCAUGAAGAGGUUGCACAGUCAACCAAUGCAGGUUCAUCCGGUCCCAAACCAAAAAAAAUCCAAACCAAAUCCUUCUGCGGAAGACAGGUUACACGCCACCAUACUUGCAUCUAGUGAAAGAAUUGCUAUUGUGAUAGAGAAGAGUUCUAGCACCGAGAACAAUGCCAUAGAUGGUCUUUGGGAGCGCAUGAAAGUACUCCCUGGGUUUAGUUUGGAUUACCUUGCUCAUUACUAUGCAUAUUUGGUUGACAAUCCUCGUGUUGCAAUGGCAUUCAAGGUGUUGGAAGAUGAUCAAAAGAAGGUUUGGGUUUCUAGAUAUGUCAAGAGUACCUUUCAUGAAGCGUGAGGGUGGUGGGUGCAUAUGUAGUGAACUGGUGAUUGACUUGUACUUUUGAUGCAACCAAAACAGUAACUAUGGGUUGUAUGGAUUAGCUCUUUUCACAACUGAGACCAUAACUAUGGGUUGUGUAACUAUUAAGUUCUAGUAGUACUCUAUGGAAU